GACCCCGCACAAGCGGUGGAUCAUGUUGUUUAAUUCGACGAUACGCGAAGAACCUUACCAGGCCUUGACAUACAUAGCAAUACUUAGGAGACUAAGUGGAGGUUAUCUACGUACAGGUGGUGCAUGGUUGUCGUCAGCUCGUGUCGUGAGAUGUUAGGUUAAGUCCUCCAACGAGCGCAACCCUUACUGCUAGUUACCAUCAUUAAGUUGGGGACUCUAGCGCGGACUGCCAGUGUAAACUGGAGGAAGGUGGGGAUGACGUCAAAUCAUCAUGCCCUUUAUGGCCUGGGCUACAAACGUGAUACAAUGGCUGGAACAAAGAGAAGCGACACCGCGAGGUCAAGCAAAUCUCAAAAAAACAGUCUCAGUUCGGAUUGAAGUCUGCAACUCGACUUCAUGAAGCCGGAAUCGCUAGUAAUCGCGAAUCAGAAUGUCG
rnacentral:rRNA from 1 species